GACAAUGUGGUGUAGUGGUUUGAGCAUUGGACUAGGACUCUGGAGACCCGGGUUCAAAUCUCUACUCAGCCA
rnacentral:tRNA from 1 species